rnacentral:rRNA from 1 species
AUUGAGCGCUGGCGGCAUGCUUUACACAUGCAAGUCGAACGGUAACAGGCCGCAAGGUGCUGACGAGUGGCGAACGGGUGAGUAAUGCAUCGGAACGUGCCCAGUCGUGGGGGAUAACUAUCCGAAAGGAUAGCUAAUACCGCAUACGAUCUGCGGAUGAAGGCGGGGGACCUUCGGGCCUCGCGCGAUUGGAGCGGCCGAUGUCAGAUUAGGUAGUUGGUGGGGUAAAGGCUCACCAAGCCAACGAGCUGUAGCUGGUCUGAAAGGACGACCAGCCACACUGGGACUGAGACACGGCCCAGACUCCUACGGGAGGCAGCAGUGGGGAAUUUUGGACAAUGGGCGCAAGCCUGAUCCAGCAAUGCCGCGUGCAGGAAGAAGGCCUUCGGGUUGUAAACUGCUUUUGUACGGAACGAAACGGCUCUGGUUAAUACCUGGGGCUAAUGACGGUACCGUAAGAAUAAGCACCGGCUAACUACGUGCCAGCCGCCGCGGUAA